GCCCGCGCCGCCGCCCGCGCCACCAACAGUGCAUUCUUCGGGCGCAUCGGCAAUUUUUUAAAAAUAUUGCAAACUUAUGAAAAAGUUGCCGGUCCGGCGGAGGGCGGAGCGCCGGCAGCCGGGGCGCCGCUACCGCGCGACAUCGCCGACCUGCUGCAGGAGGUAGAAGCGAUAUCGCGGUGGAUAGACGAGGUGCGCGGCGACUCGCAGCUCAUCCGCCGACUGCACUCCGACCCCACAUACCACGCCAACGAUCGUAA